GGGAGGAUGGCCGAGUUGGUUAUGGCGCCAGGUUAAGGUUAAACCUUAACAGAAUUAACAAUUUCCUGGUUCGGAAACGAGCGUGGGUUCGAGUCCCACUCCUCUCA
rnacentral:tRNA from 1 species